rnacentral:rRNA from 1 species
AUCCUCUAGAGAUUAUCCUGCCAGUAGUCAUAUGCUUGUCUCAAAGAUUAAGCCAUGCACGUGUAAGUAAAAGCUUCAGUAAGGUGAAACCGCGAAUGGCUCAUUAAAUCACACCUAAUCUACGGGAAAGUUAACCAGUUACUUGGAUAACUGAGCUAAUUGUUGAGCUAAUACAUGCGAAAAUCCCCGACGCAAGGAGGGGAGCUUUUAUUAGAUCAAAACCAGACGGCUCCGUCGUACUCCUGGUGACUCUGAAUAACUUUGGGCUGAUCGCAUUGCCUUGUGCAGGCGACAUUUCCUUCGAAGGUGUGCCCUAUCAACUUUCGACUGUGGCAUAGACGCCCACAGUGGUUUUGACGGGUAACGGGGAAUCAGGGUUCGAUUCCGGAGAGGGAGCCUUAAAAACGGCUACCACAUCUAAGGAAGGCAGCAGGCACGCAAAUUACCCAAUGACCGAAGGUCGAGGUAGUGACGAAAAAUAACGAUAGCGGUCUCAUCCGAGGUACGCUAAUUGGAAUGAGUACACUUUAAAACCGUCCCCGAGGAUCUAUUGGAGGGCAAGUCUGG